GAUUAACGCUGGCGGCGUGCAUAACACAUUCGAGUCGAACGGUGAGGGGGCUUCGGCCCCUGAUCAGUGGCGGACGGGUGAGUAACGCGUGAGCAACCUGCCCUUGUGUGGGGGAUAACGUUUGGAAACGGACGCUAAUACCGCAUAACCCAAUAGUACGGCAUCGUACAGUUGGCAAAGAUUUAUUGCACAAGGAUGGGGUCGCGUCUGAUUAGGUAGUUGGUGGGGUAACGGCCUACCAAGCCCGCGAUCAGUAGCCGGACUGAGAGGUUGAACGGCCACAUUGGAACUGAGAUACGGUCCAGACUCCUACGGGAGGCAGCAGUGGGGAAUAUUGGGCAAUGGGGGAAACCCUGACCCAGCGACGCCGCGUGAGGGAAGAAGGUCUCCGGAUUGUAAACCUUAAACAACAGGGACGAAGAAAGUGACGGUACCUGUUAGGAAGCCACGGCUAACUACGUGCCAGCCGCCGCGGUAACAC
rnacentral:rRNA from 1 species